UUUUGCACUUGCAUUCUCAAUACCUGCGGGUUCGGUUUCUUCGGGUUAGUUCGGUCGGUUGGUUCGGGAUUCAGUUAGUUCGAAAAAAGUUCUGGUUCGGUUUUGGAUUAGUUCGGUUUCAAAAUCUUUUACCAAAGUUUUUGGUUUUGCGGUUAGCAAUUAGUUCGUUAAAUUUUUGUUUUAAAUUGAAUUUUGAAUAACAUUAAAAAAAAGAGUAAUUGCAGUGUAUGACUAUGAAAAAAAUGUUAUUUAGCUAUAUGGAGAACAGAGUUGUUUAAUACUGUGUUUAAUCUGUAAAUACGACGUUACCCCUACAUUUAGCUUUGUGCAUUAGGUCUGACACAUCGAGAGGCAACAAUUAUUAUCCUAUUCAAAGCUACCGUAUGUAAUCUUUUUUUUUUCCUUCUAAAAGGCAAAAAUGCCUAUCACCAUUAUUUCUCUGCUUUUCUCAUUCUCUUCCUCCUUGUCUCCUCUCUGCCACGACCGAACCGUAGAGACCAUCAAGUCCCACCUCAAUAAUUGCCACAUCGUUACCGCUAUCAACAACCCAUCUUUGCUCGAAGACAAUGACAGUGCUGAGAUUAAAACUCGUCAACAACCCAUGUCUUCUUCUUUCUUGGCACCUCCUCUUGAGGUCAUGGGUCAAUCUCCUCCUCAAAGACCCUGUGCUGCUCAAUCUCUCCUCAUAUUCUCUCUCAGAUUCACUUUUCUUGAAAACAGAUCUGAAAAAGUGUAAAGUUUGUAUCUUUUUUUAGGUUCUAGUACUCACUUCCUCUCUCUCUUUCUAAUUCCUAUUUUUCUCUGUGAAUAUUUUGAUUUCCUUAAGACCAUUCUACCUUUUUCAAUUCAGAUUUCUCUUCACCAUCAUUUUUAUAAUCGCCUCCAAGACUCAGCUCAAGUAGAGAUAAAAAUCCAUCAUUUGCAACUAAUUUGUCCGUGAACCACGGCUCGGACGUGUUAGCGCUAUGUUGCCUCUGCCUCUAUCUUCUUUGCUCCUCCCCCAACUGUCUGACAAGGAUCUGAAACCUCUCUAUAUAAUCAAUCACCACCACCACUGUUGCUAUCACCUUUAAAAAUGCUUGCUGGAUUUUGAAGAUAUAAAAAGCAAACCCGACACAGAUCCUUAUUGGCCAAAACAUAUUGAUUUCUUGUUGUUGUGUCAUUGCUUUUAAGGAGUUAAAGAUCUACAAGAAGAGUGUAGAAAGAAGUGAAGUGGAGGCUACAAGCCUACAAGAAUAUGCUCUACGAAUAAAAGGAACAAGCUUUGAAGUAGUCGUGAUUUAAAUGAAGAGUGUAGAAAGAAGUGAAGUUGAUGAUGAGUUCUUUUAAUUUGGCUGAUAUUUUAUCCAUAUAUUUUGCUCUGCUAUAAGUUGAAUACCAUGGCUUCUACACUAUUGAGCCGAAGUUGUUGUAAUGAUGCUUAUUUUGGAGUGAUGUAAAAGGCUGCAGCGGUUGUUUGGCAGUUUGAGCCUGUUUAAACAACAUAUCCGCAUACUAAACAUCAUGUUCGCAAUUUAUCUACAGUAUAACUACUUCCAUAUAA